GCCAGCUGCCGCCAUGACCAGCAGCAUGUGAAGACGCCGGUAAGCCACCAGCCACGUGGCAAGCUUCUUUCCCCUCUCUAUACACGGAAUGUGGAUUUUGCCGAGGUUAAAGAUCAGUAAUGCAGUCCAUCUUUUAGUCGAGGAGAAGGCAGGAAAACAAAUGAGCCUUCCUCCACAUUUCGAUGAGAAGACUCCGAAUGAGGUCGCGUAAGGACCUGCGGACAUAAUUCAGAAGAACAGCUGGAGAAGGAGGAGAAGGCAGGCUUCAGGGAACGUAAAACGGCAGCAGAAGCUCUGAGAUCAAGUUGAGAUCCAUCAAGCUGACAGUCACAGCCUGUCUGCGGACUUAGUUACGAACUGCUGAGGUACCAGGACGCGGGCCCAAAUGGUCACGUGAUGCCAAGCUGGAAGUCAGGUGAUGCACCUGGAGUGGCCAGCCUAGAAUGAUCAACUUUCUGCAGAGGGGGAGCUGUAGAGAAGUUUAAUGGUGUUGGGGAUGGGGAGAUGGAUCAGAUGAACUUUAUAUAUUAAAAAAAAAAGUCCAGGA